AAUAUAGCACAUUUAAAAACUUGUAUAUACCCUGGAUAUGGCAGGGAGUAUCUACCGGAAACCGUAAAAUUCCGACUAUAAGUGAUUUUGUUAUACGC
rfam:Clostridium sp. Maddingley MBC34-26 contig_278_27, whole genome shotgun sequence.